ensembl:rRNA 5_8S_rRNA 5.8S ribosomal RNA
ACGACUUAGCAGUGGAUCACUCGGCUCUUGUGUCGAUGAACACAGGUAGCUGCAAGAAUUAAUGUCAAUUGCAGGACACAUUGAUCAUCCACACUUUGAAUGCGCUUGUGGUCCCAGGUUCCUCACGGGGCUAUGCCUGUCUGAGCGUCC